rnacentral:rRNA from 1 species
UCCUACGGGAGGCAGCAGUGGGGAAUAUUGCACAAUGGGCGAAAGCCUGAUGCAGCAACGCCGCGUGGAGGAUGAAGGCCUUCGGGUUGUAAACUCUUGUCUUCUGGGACGAUAAUGACGGUACCAGAGGAGGAAGCCACGGCUAACUACGUGCCAGCAGCCGCGGUAAUACGUAGGUGGCAAGCGUUGUCCGGAUUUACUGGGCGUAAAGGAUGCGUAGGCGGAUAUUUAAGUGGGAUGUGAAAUACCUGGGCUCAACCUGGGUGCUGCAUUCCAAACUGGAUAUCUAGAGUGCGGGAGAGGAAAGUGGAAUUCCUAGUGUAGCGGUGAAAUGCGUAGAGAUUAGGAAGAACACCAGUGGCGAAGGCGACUUUCUGGACCGUAACUGACGCUGAGGCAUGAAAGCGUGGGGAGCAAACAGGAUUAGAUACCCUGGUAG